CCUGGUUGAUCCUGCCAGUAGUCAUAUGCUUGUCUCAAAGAUUAAGCCAUGCAUGUCUAAGUAUGAACUGGUUCAUAUGGUGAAACUGCGAAUGGCUCAUUAAAUCAGCAAUAGUUUAUUUGAUUGUGCGCUGAUUGCUACUUGGAUAACCGUAGUAAUUCUAGAGCUAAUACAUGUUUCAAACGACCGACUUCCGUCCUGUUGAAAGGGUCAAACUGAUUGACAGAAACGUUCUGUGGAAGGUCUGCAUUUAUUAGAUACGAAAAAACCAAUACGUCAAUGAGGGCAACUUUGUUGAUGGUAAAAAUAAAAACAUUCUUGACACGAAUGAAUAAAAUUGGUGAUUCAUGAUAACUGCGCGAAUCGCAUGGUCUCGCACCAGCGAUGGAUCAUUCAAAUUUCUGCCCUAUCAACUUUCGAAGGUAGGAUAGAGGCCUACCUUUGUUGUCACGGGUACGGGGAAUUAGGGUUCGGUUCCGGAGAGGGGGCAUGAGAAUUGGCCACCACUUCCAAGGAAGGCAGCAGGCGCGAAAAUUACUCAAUCCUGACACAGGGAAGUAGUGACAAAAAAUAACAAUGCAAUGCCUUGAACAAAGGCUUGCAAUUGGAAUGAGAGCAAUUUAAAUCCCUUCUCAAGGAACAAUUGGAGGGCAAGUCUGGUGCCAGCAGCCGCGGUAAUUCCAGCUCCAAUAGUGUAUUUUAAAGUUGUUGCAGUUAAAAAGCUCGUAGUUGGAUUUCAGAGCAGUUUCAAAAGAAUUUCCGGUCUGCUGUGUCAAUUUGUGAUGCAGUGUGUACUGGUCUUUCUGCUCUUUUUCUUGGUGAUCCUUACAACGCGGUCAUCAUUGCCGAAGGGUUUUGAGUUGCUUUUGUGACUCGAUCUGAGGAGGUGGUGAUUUAGCUUGUAUGUUCGAUUGUCAAGAAGUCCUGACAAGACGUUCGCUUGUUCUCUUCAUUGAGAGCGAGUCAUUCUCUCGCACAGUGUUGUUCUUCGGGAUGAUGCAGUGGGGGAGUUUUGUUGGUUCAUCACAGUGUUUGCAAUCGAGAGCGCAGCAAUGCGUGAUUGGUUGUGAUGGUGGUGCGGUCAGCAGAACUCUUGUCCUUUUACCUUGAAUAAAUUAGAGUGUUCAAAGCAGGCUGUGGCGAAAGUCAACACGCCUUGAAUAUGUUAGCAUGGGAUAAUGGAAUAGGACUUUGGUCUUUGCAAGUGUCAGGAAGGGGGUGUUGCAGCAAUGUGAUGUCCUUCCCUGCCUUUUUCGUUGGUUUUCAGAAGAUCAAAG
rnacentral:rRNA from 1 species